AAUUACGUGCGAGACAAACAGAAAAAACAAAUGUUAGUGACAAAACCCCUUAAUUCAUGUAUAAUAUCUGUCGUUCCAAAGAAGAACUAUUACUUAGAAUGGCUUGAGUAUAUUUUUGUUAUUUUUUAAAAUAAUUUUGUCUUUGGUAGCAUUGAUAUUAGUGUAUGUUUAUUCUAACACAUGUCAUGCAUGGAAAUUAAAAUAUCUUAAAUCACUAUAUAAUCUACUUUUUAUUUGCAAAAAGG